ACGGGAGGCAGCAGUGGGGAAUAUUGCACAAUGGGGGAAACCCUGAUGCAGCGACGCCGCGUGGGUGAAGAAGUUUUUCGGAAUGUAAAGCCCUAUCAGCAGGGAAGAUAAUGACGGUACCUGACUAAGAAGCCCCGGCUAACUACGUGCCAGCAGCCGCGGUAAUACGUAGGGGGCAAGCGUUAUCCGGAUUUACUGGGUGUAAAGGGCGCGUAGGCGGGGAGACAAGUCAGGUGUGAAAUCUAUGGGCUUAACCCAUAAACUGCAUUUGAAACUGUAUCUCUUGAGUGCUGGAGAGGUAGCUGGAAUUCCUUGUGUAGCGGUGAAAUGCGUAGAUAUAAGGAAGAACACCAGUGGCGAAGGCGAUCUACUGGACAGUAACUGACGCUGAGGCGCGAAAGCGUGGGGAGCAAACAGGAUUAGAUACCCUGGUA
rnacentral:rRNA from 1 species